GAUUGAAACGCUGGCGGCAUGCCUUACACAUGCAAGUCGAACGGCAGCACGGGAGCAAUCCUGGUGGCGAGUGGCGAACGGGUGAGUAAUAUAUCGGAACGUGCCCAGUCGUGGGGGAUAACGCAGCGAAAGCUGUGCUAAUACCGCAUACGAUCUCUGGAUGAAAGCGGGGGACUCGCAAGGGCCUCGCGCGAUUGGAGCGGCCGAUAUCAGAUUAGCUAGUUGGUGGGGUAAAAGCCCACCAAGGCGACGAUCUGUAGCUGGUCUGAGAGGACGACCAGCCACACUGGAACUGAGACACGGUCCAGACUCCUACGGGAGGCAGCAGUGUUUUUUUUUUUUUUAUGGGCGCAAGCCUGAUCCAGCAAUGCCGCGUGCAGGAUGAAGGCCUUCGGGUUGUAAAC
rnacentral:rRNA from 1 species